rnacentral:rRNA from 1 species
UCCCCGAAAUAGCUUUAGGGCUAGCCUCAAGGUGAGAGAUACGGAGGUAGAGCACUGAAUGUCCUAGGGGGUAUUGCACCUACCGAAGACUAUCAAACUCCGAAUGCCGUCAUCUUAUACUUGGGAGGCAGACUGUGGGUGAUAAGAUUCAUAGUCGAAAGGGCAACAGCCCAGAUCGUCAGCUAAGGUCCCUAAAUGUAAGUUAAGUGGUAAAGGAUGGGGGAUUGCACAGACAACCAGGAUGUUGGCUUAGAAGCAGCCACUCAUUCAAAGAGUGCGUAAUAGCUCACUGGUCGAGUGAUCCUGCGCCGAAGAUUUCCGGGGCUAAAACUUACUACCGAAGCUAC